rnacentral:rRNA from 1 species
GACGAACGCUGGCGGCGUGCUUAACACAUGCAAGUCGAACGGAAAGGCCCUGCUUUUGUGGGGUGCUCGAGUGGCGAACGGGUGAGUAACACGUGAGUAACCUGCCCUUGACUUUGGGAUAACUUCAGGAAACUGGGGCUAAUACCGGAUAGGAGCUCCUGCUGCAUGGUGGGGGUUGGAAAGUUUCGGCGGUUGGGGAUGGACUCGCGGCUUAUCAGCUUGUUGGUGGGGUAGUGGCUUACCAAGGCUUUGACGGGUAGCCGGCCUGAGAGGGUGACCGGCCACAUUGGGACUGAGAGACGGCCCAGAGUCCUACGGGAGGCAGCAGUGGGGAAUAUUGCACAAUGGGCGGAAGCGUGAUGCAGCAACGCCGCGUGCGGGAUGACGGCCUUCGGGUUGUAAACCGCUUUCGCCUGUGACGAAGCGUGAGUGACGGUAAUGGGUAAAGAAGCACCGGCUAACUACGUG